rnacentral:rRNA from 1 species
GAUGAACGCUGGCGGCGUGCCUAAUACAUGCAAGUCGAGCGGACGGACGAUGAGCUUGCUGCGUUGAUGUUUGCGGCAGACGGGUGAGUAACACGUGGAUAACGUACUUGUAAUACUGGUAUAACCUCGGGAAACCGGAUCUUAUCCCGGAGAAUCUUUUGAACCACAGGGUGCAAUAGUGAAAGACGGCCUUGCUGGCUCGUAUAGCGGCAUCCGGGCUGCAUGAGCUAGUUGGUGAGGUAACGGCUUAUCAAGGCAACGAUGCGUAGCCGAACUAAGGGGGUGAUCGGCCACCCUGGAACUGAGACACGGUCCAGACUCCUAAGGGAGGCAGCAGUAGGGAAUGUUCCGCAAUGGGCGAAAGCAUGACGGAGCAACGCCGCGUGAGUGAUGACGGUCUUCGGAGCGUAAAGACCUGCUACUAGGGAAGAACAGAUGUGUACGUAGCUGUGCCCAGCUUGACGGUACUUAAUCAGAAAGCAACGGCUAACUACGUG